rnacentral:rRNA from 1 species
AGUGAACGCUGGCGGUCGGCCUAACACAUGCAAGUCGAACGGCAGCUCAGUCAGAGUUUGCUUUUACGUGUGGCCAGUGGUGGACGGGUGAGGAAUCCCUCGGAAUCUACUUUUUCGAGGGGGAUAACCUCGGGAAACUUACGCUAAUACCGCAUACGACCUACGGGUGAAAGCAGGGGAUCUUCAGACCUUGCCCGAUUGAAUGAGCCGAUGUCGGAUUGGCUAGUUGGCGGGGUAAAGGCCCACCAAGGCGACGAUCCUUAGCUGGUCUGCGAGGUUGUACAGCCCCAUUUGAACUGAGACACGUUCCACACUCCUACGGAAGGCACCAGGGUGGAAUAUUGGACAAUGGGCGCAAUCCUAACCCAGCCAUACCGCGUGGGUAUAGAAAGUCUUCGGGUUGUAAAGCCGUUUUGUUUGGAAAGAAAAGCAGCAGGGUAAAACCCCGCUGUUCCGAGGGUACCCAAAGGAUGGGCACGGGCUAACUACGUG